AGUGAACGCUGGCGGUAGGCCUAACACAUGCAAGUCGAACGGCAGCACAGUAAGAGCUUGCUCUUACGGGUGGCGAGUGGCGGACGGGUGAGGAAUACAUCGGAAUCUACUUUUUCGUGGGGGAUAACGUAGGGAAACUUACGCUAAUACCGCAUACGACCUACGGGUGAAAGCAGGGGAUCUUCGGACCUUUCGCGAUUGAAUGAGCCGAUGUCGGAUUAGCUAGUUGGCGGGGUAAAGGCCCACCAAGGCGACGAUCCGUAGCUGGUCUGAGAGGAUGAUCAGCCACACUGGAACUGAGACACGGUCCAGACUCCUACGGGAGGCAGCAGUGGGGAAUAUUGGACAAUGGGCGAAAGCCUGAUCCAGCAAUACCGCGUGGGUGAAGAAGGCCUUCGGGUUGUAAAGCCCUUUUGUUGGGAAAGAAAAGAAGCAGGUUAAUACCCCGCUGUUCUGACGGUACCCAAAGAAUAAGCACCGGCUAACUUCGUG
rnacentral:rRNA from 1 species